rnacentral:rRNA from 1 species
GACGGAGGAUGCAAGCGUUAAUCGGAAUUACUGGGCGUAAAGCGCACGCAGGCGGUUUGUUAAGUCAGAUGUGAAAUCCCCGCGCUUAACGUGGGAACUGCAUUUGAAACUGGCAAGCUAGAGUCUUGUAGAGGGGGGUAGAAUUCCAGGUGUAGCGGUGAAAUGCGUAGAGAUCUGGAGGAAUACCGGUGGCGAAGGCGGCCCCCUGGACAAAGACUGACGCUCAGGUGCGAAAGCGUGGGGAGCAAACAGG